rnacentral:antisense_RNA from 1 species
UGUGGGAGCGAGCUUGCUCGCGAAGGCGUCCUGCCAGUCUAUGUGUGCAGUGACUGGUACACCGCAUUCGCGAGCAAGCUCGCUCCCACA